UUUCUCCUACGGGGGGCAGCAGUGGGGGAUAUUGGACAAUGGGGGGAACCCUGAUCCAGCGACGCCGCGUGAGUGAAGAAGUAUUUCGGUAUGUAAAGCUCUGUCAGCAGGGAAGAAAGAAAUGACGGUACCUGACCAAGAAGCCCCGGCUAACUACGUGCCAGCAGCCGCGGUAAUACGUAGGGGGCAAGCGUUAUCCGGAUUUACUGGGUGUAAAGGGAGCGUAGACGGCAGCGCAAGUCUGAAGUGAAAUCCCAUGGCUUAACCAUGGAACUGCUUUGGAAACUGUGCAGCUGGAGUGCAGG
rnacentral:rRNA from 1 species